rnacentral:lncRNA from 1 species
CCUUUCCCCGAAACAACUAUCAUGAGCGCGAGGCUGCCGGUGUUGUCUCCACCUCGGUGGCCGCGGCUGUUGCUGCUGUCGCUGCUCCUGCUGGGGGCGGUUCCUGGCCCGCGCCGGAGCGGCGCUUUCUACCUGCCCGGCCUGGCGCCCGUCAACUUCUGCGACGAAGAAAAAAAGAGCGACGAGUGCAAGGCCGAAAUAGAACUAUUUGUGAACAGACUUGAUUCAGUGGAAUCAGUUCUUCCUUAUGAAUACACAGCGUAAGUUUGAUUUUUGCCAAGCAUCAGAAGGAAAGCGCCCAUCUGAAAAUCUUGGUCAGGUACUAUUCGGGGAAAGAAUUGAACCUUCACCAUAUAAGUUUACGUUUAAUAAGAAGGAGACCUGUAAGCUUGUUUGUACAAAAACAUACCAUACAGAGAAAGCUGAAGACAAACAAAAGUUAGAAUUCUUGAAAAAAAGCAUGUUAUUGAAUUAUCAACAUCACUGGAUUGUGGAUAAUAUGCCUGUAACGUGGUGUUACGAUGUUGAAGAUGGUCAGAGGUUCUGUAAUCCUGGAUUUCCUAUUGGCUGUUACAUUACAGAUAAAGGCCAUGCAAAAGAUGCCUGUGUUAUUAGUUCAGAUUUCCAUGAAAGAGAUACAUUUUACAUCUUCAACCAUGUUGACAUCAAAAUAUACUAUCAUGUUGUUGAAACUGGGUCCAUGGGAGCAAGAUUAGUGGCUGCUAAACUUGAACCGAAAAGCUUCAAACAUACCCAUAUAGAUAAACCAGACUGCUCAGGGCCCCCCAUGGACAUAAGUAACAAGGCUUCUGGGGAGAUAAAAAUUGCCUAUACUUACUCUGUUAGCUUCGAGGAAGAUGAUAAGAUCAGAUGGGCGUCUAGAUGGGACUAUAUUCUGGAGUCUAUGCCUCAUACCCACAUUCAGUGGUUUAGCAUUAUGAAUUCCCUGGUCAUUGUUCUCUUCUUAUCUGGAAUGGUAGCUAUGAUUAUGUUACGGACACUGCACAAAGAUAUUGCUAGAUAUAAUCAGAUGGACUCUACGGAAGAUGCCCAGGAAGAAUUUGGCUGGAAACUUGUUCAUGGUGAUAUAUUCCGUCCUCCAAGAAAAGGGAUGCUGCUAUCAGUCUUUCUAGGAUCCGGGACACAGAUUUUAAUUAUGACCUUUGUGACUCUAUUUUUCGCUUGCCUGGGAUUUUUGUCACCUGCCAACCGAGGAGCGCUGAUGACGUGUGCUGUGGUCCUGUGGGUGCUGCUGGGCACCCCUGCAGGCUAUGUUGCUGCCAGAUUCUAUAAGUCCUUUGGAGGUGAGAAGUGGAAAACAAAUGUUUUAUUAACAUCAUUUCUUUGUCCUGGGAUUGUAUUUGCUGACUUCUUUAUAAUGAAUCUGAUCCUCUGGGGAGAAGGAUCUUCAGCAGCUAUUCCUUUUGGGACACUGGUUGCCAUAUUGGCCCUUUGGUUCUGCAUAUCUGUGCCUCUGACGUUUAUUGGUGCAUACUUUGGUUUUAAGAAGAAUGCCAUUGAACACCCAGUUCGAACCAAUCAGAUUCCACGUCAGAUUCCUGAACAGUCGUUCUACACGAAGCCCUUGCCUGGUAUUAUCAUGGGAGGGAUUUUGCCCUUUGGCUGCAUCUUUAUACAACUUUUCUUCAUUCUGAAUAGUAUUUGGUCACACCAGAUGUAUUACAUGUUUGGCUUCCUAUUUCUGGUGUUUAUCAUUUUGGUUAUUACCUGUUCUGAAGCAACUAUACUUCUUUGCUAUUUCCACCUAUGUGCAGAGGAUUAUCAUUGGCAAUGGCGUUCAUUCCUUACGAGUGGCUUUACUGCAGUUUAUUUCUUAAUCUAUGCAGUACACUACUUCUUUUCAAAACUGCAGAUCACGGGAACAGCAAGCACAAUUCUGUACUUUGGUUAUACCAUGAUAAUGGUUUUGAUCUUCUUUCUUUUUACAGGAACAAUUGGCUUCUUUGCAUGCUUUUGGUUUGUUACCAAAAUAUACAGUGUGGUGAAGGUUGACUGAAGAAGUCCAGUGUGUCCAGUUAAAACAGAAAUAAAUUAAACUCUUCAUCAACAAAGACCUGUUUUUGUGACUGCCUUGAGUUUUAUCAGAAUUAUUGGCCUAGUAAUCCUUCAGAAACACCGUAAUUCUAAAUAAAC